rnacentral:rRNA from 1 species
UACGUAGGGGGCAAGCGUUGUCCGGAUUUAUUGGGCGUAAAGAGUGUGUAGGCGGUUUGGUAGGUCCGUUGUGAAAACUCGAGGCUCAACCUCGAGACGCCGAUGGAAACCAUCAGACUAGAGUCCGGAAGAGGAGAGUGGAAUUCCUGGUGUAGCGGUGAAAUGCGCAGAUAUCAGGAAGAACACCCGUGGCUAAGGCGGCUCUCUAGUACGGUACUGACGCUGAGACGCGAAAGCGUGGGGAGCGAACAGG